GAGUAAUGUCUGGGAAACUGCCCGAUGGAGGGGGAUAACUACUGGAAACGGUAGCUAAUACCGCAUAACGUCGCAAGACCAAAGAGGGGGACCUUCGGGCCUCUUGCCAUCGGAUGUGCCCAGAUGGGAUUAGCUUGUUGGUGAGGUAACGGCUCACCAAGGCGACGAUCCCUAGCUGGUCUGAGAGGAUGACCAGCCACACUGGAACUGAGACACGGUCCAGACUCCUACGGGAGGCAGCAGUGGGGAAUAUUGCACAAUGGGCGCAAGCCUGAUGCAGCCAUGCCGCGUGUAUGAAGAAGGCCUUCGGGUUGUAAAGUA
rnacentral:rRNA from 2 species